rnacentral:rRNA from 1 species
CAGUAGCCGCGGUAAUACGGAGGGUGCAAGCGUUAAUCGGAAUUACUGGGCGUAAAGCGCACGCAGGCGGUCUGACAAGUCAGAUGUGAAAUCCCCGGGCUUAACCUGGGAACUGCAUUUGAAACUGUCAGGCUGGAGUCUUGUAGAGGGGGGUAGAAUUCCAGGUGUAGCGGUGAAAUGCGUAGAGAUCUGGAGGAAUACCGGUGGCGAAGGCGGCCCCCUGGACAAAGACUGACGCUCAGGUGCGAAAGCGUGGGGAGCAAACAGGAUUAGAUACCCCGGUAGUCCCUGUCUCUUAUAC